AACGAACGCUGGCGGCAUGCCUAACACAUGCAAGUCGAACGAGACCUUCGGGUCUAGUGGCGCACGGGUGCGUAACGCGUGGGAACCUGCCCUUAGGUUCGGAAUAACUCCCCGAAAGGGGUGCUAAUACCGGAUAAUGUCUUCGGACCAAAGAUUUAUCGCCUUUGGAUGGGCCCGCGUUGGAUUAGCUAGUUGGUAGGGUAAAAGCCUACCAAGGCGACGAUCCAUAGCUGGUCUGAGAGGAUGAUCAGCCACACUGGGACUGAGACGCGGCCCAGACUCCUACGGGAUGCAGCAGUGGGGAAUAUUGGACAAUGGGCGAAAGCCUGAUCCAGCAAUGCCGCGUGAGUGAUGAAGGCCUUAGGGUUGUAAAGCUCUUUUACCCGGGAUGAUAAUGACAGUACCGGGAGAAUAAGCUCCGGCUAACUCCGUG
rnacentral:rRNA from 1 species